CCUACGGGAGGCUGCAGUGGGGAAUAUUGCGCAAUGGGGGAAACCCUGACGCAGCGACGCCGCGUGAGCGAAGAAGGCCUUAGGGUUGUAAAGCUCUGUUUUAAGGGACGAAGAUGUAGAUAAGUAACUGUAUAUACAUAGACGGUACCUUAAGAGGAAGCCCCGGCUAACUACGUGCCAGCAGCCGCGGUAAGACGUAGGGGGCGAGCGUUGUCCGGAAUCACUGGGUGUAAAGGGCACGCAGGCGGGUGUUUAAGUCAUUCGUGAAAUACCGCAGCUUAACUGCGGGGUUGCGAGUGAAACUGGAAAUCUUGAGGGAAAGAGAGGACAGUAGAAUUCCUGGUGUAGCGGUGAAAGGCGUAGAAAUCAGGAGGAAUACCGGUGGCGAAGGCGACUGUCUGGAUUGACCCUGACGCUGAGGUGCGAAAGCGUGGGUAGCAAACAGGAUUAGAUACCCGUGUAGUC
rnacentral:rRNA from 1 species